rnacentral:rRNA from 3 species
UUUAUCGGAGAGUUUGAUCCUGGCUCAGGACGAACGCUGGCGGCGUGCCUAAUACAUGCAAGUCGAGCGGACAGAUGGGAGCUUGCUCCCUGAUGUUAGCGGCGGACGGGUGAGUAACACGUGGGUAACCUGCCUGUAAGACUGGGAUAACUCCGGGAAACCGGGGCUAAUACCGGAUGGUUGUCUGAACCGCAUGGUUCAGACAUAAAAGGUGGCUUCGGCUACCACUUACAGAUGGACCCGCGGCGCAUUAGCUAGUUGG